rnacentral:misc_RNA from 1 species
UCCUCUUUACAGAGGCAGUUUGUUUUGAGUUCCCGACAUUACUCGCUGGCAACAAAACAUGAGGGUUGCGCUCGUUGCGGGACUUAACCCAACAUUUCACAACACGAGCUGACGACAGCCAUGCACCACCUGUGUAUCACCUUCGAAAGCGACUGCUUUUCGGCAGCUUGCAGAUACAUGUCAAGCCCUGGUAAGGUUCUUCGCGUUGCAUCGAAUUAAGCCACAUGCUCCACCGCUUGUGCGGUCCCCCGCCAAUUCCUUUGAGUUUCAACCUUGCGGCCGUAGUCCCCAGGCGGUUCACUUAAUGCGUUAGCUGCGGCACCGAGGGUUACCCCCCAACACCUAGUGAACAUCGUUUAAGGCCAAGACUAC